GUGACGGUGACGUCAUCCGCAGGGAACUCGGAGAUGACGCGGAGCGGAGCGGAGUCGGGCGCCGCGUGGGAGCUCAGCACCUCCUCCACGUCCACGGGCUCCACUACGUCGCAUGCCGGGAUCUGCCAGCGCAGAGACACAAAGGCCAAGAUCCUUCAGGAUCGAACCACGUGGAAUGCGCGCAGGUGUGGAAUGCUGCGCGCUCUACGGAGGCGCGGUUAGCGCUGCACUGUGGACUUUGGCGACAAUCCAAGGCUCUCCAACACAACCGGAGCUCGAUGGAUUGUUGCAUGGCGAGACCUGGAUGAUGGCGACAGUCUUGUUGGAGGGCAAGGAGCGUCAGUAGCAGCAGCAGCGGCGCGUUAUGUGCAAGGGCGAUUCCAGUUCCUUGAAGGAAGUAGGGGCCCUUGUAUGCCAGAUCCUGUGGCCAGCCAACUGUGCAGCUGCUCGUCAAAAUAAUAAUAAAAUACACGUUGGUGAAAAAUGCA